UUUGGUGCAGAGUUAUGGAUUUGUAAACUUCAUGCUUCUAGUAUUUUUUUUUAACUUACCAAUUUCCGGCAACAUUUAUAAAAAUUUCAGGGUCCUAAAUUAAAACUCUGAUCCAAGAGUCGAUAGAAUUUAUCUCACUCUCUUAAAUGUAACAAAUUUCGUUCAACUGGGUCCAAACAACAGGAAGCUUUGUAGUGAACGUCGAAAUAGUUAGAGCUAACGACAGGCCAGAACGACUACUACAGCUGCCAGUUAAUUCGCGGGGGAGAGCACUGGUUCGGGGCUGCAAGAUGACCAAAAUGGUGGCGCUGGUGGUUUGAAUUAAUGGCGUUUCGAACCUGCAGUCACGGCGAAAAGUCUGAAAUAUAUGCACACGAACCACUAAAACAGUUGAUAUCCCAGUACACCCUUUAGGCGUGAUUAUUUCUUCCCAUUAAAAAUUUUGUUUCACCACAUUUCUUGCAUGUUGUGAGAAUCACGAAAAGCAUUCAAAUGCAGAACAGAUUAGAAUUUUCGGUUCUUCAAUUAGUUCUAUCAAGUUUACAGAUUGUGAACUUGAUGCGAGAAAACUCAAGAACAGCAUCAGGUAUGAGAAAAUCAACUAUUUCAGGUCUAGCAUACUUCGAAAGCAUCCAUCCAGCCACUUGGAAAAUGUGCUUGAUGUAAAACACUGCGAAAAACCAUGAAAGAAGGGAACCUGCUACAUUACGACAUACUGACAUCGAGAGCAAACACUCAACUGUCUGCCUUCUAACUUAUCUUGCUAACCAUU
rnacentral:lncRNA from 1 species